UGAAAGCCAUAGUUUUCAAAACAGUUUUCUGCAAGUAUAACUUCUCGCUCUGGAAAAAAGAGGAGCUUUUAUCUCUGCAGAACUAAAUACUGAUCUAAAGAGACAUUUCAAACCUGAAGUCAGCAAAAGAAGUAACCUGUGCCCAGAACCUGCUGGUAGCUGCUCAUCUGGGAAAUGGAGUCGGAGAGCAGAGGUGCAGGCAAAGGAACUGGGAGCAAAGGCUUCACAGCAGCGUGCACAGUGCUCUGUAAAAGCUUUCCAGUAAAGUUCCUUCAGCUGGAGAUGAUCUCUGCCUGAGUUCUGCUUUUUCUACAAUACUUCAGAUGCAUCUGGAUGGCCCAGAGAAAGGUUGCAGUAAGUCAAGAACCCAGAGGAACCAAAGUGGCUUUGUUGUAUAACGUGAAAAUGCUUAGGAAGCCUGUGAAGUGUGUGCUGUGCACUUAGUUUCCCUGGAGUUUCAUUUUCACAAGAUUACAGAACAGUGUAUUUAUUUCAAAUGAUAGACCAGACGGGCUGUGUUUCAGUGACUGCACAGAUUCUCUGCUCAGAUGUUCCCAAUGGCUCUACUUUCUAAAUGGGAAGGAUUUUACUGCUUCCACCAUGAACUGUCACUGCCUGCCUCUACGUACAAAAUCUUUUUGAGGAUUCAUAUUUUUUGUCGCAAUAUUUACAUGGUGUUUGACAUCUGCAAACUGCUUUCAUAAUCUUAAAAAAUGUAUUCAGACAACCAUAUAUUUCUAGGCACUUUAUUCUGCAAGAAGCCCUGUAUAAAUCAAAGGGGGAUUUUUUGCAGAAUCAAGUGCUACCCAAUGUAGUAACAGCAUCAGAAUCAUGUAAUGCAAAUGACCUAAAUACUCCAGGACAAGGGUGGUUGUUCCUGGUAUUUGAUACUUACUCCAGAAGUCUUGAUUUACAUCUGAGGACAACACCACAUUUGGAGUACAAAUUAAAGAUUUCUGCAGUCUUUGUAAAUUAUUAUUGUAACUAUAGGAGAUAUUUUAAAAUAUUGAAACAAGAGGCUUCUUCUUCUGCGCAAGGUUCUGUCCUUACUGGAAAAGUAAGCCAGCAGAUGAAGGGUAAUAUUCCCCUUGCAGGUGACUACUUUGCUGAGAACAAAAUAGAAAACGUAUCCCAUAGUGAUGUCUUAAUGGCACUCAGGGUCUGGUACUAAUCUCAGACACAGGCAUAAUUACUGUGAAAUUAUCUCCUCUGUAGGGGCGUAAGCAAGAACCGAUUUUGUAAAAUCUUUUCUAUGUACUUACCCAGGAUUAAACCUGAUCCUCACUGCGAAACUAUCUUGGCAAAGCAAAGGAUCCUAAAAGGUUAAGACAAACAUGAUUGGAGACAGGAUAUUUUUUGCCCAGAACGCCCACAUCCACGUGAAUUGUCAGCUACAAGCUUAUGCGAUGUGCACUACAAUCAGAGUGACCACAGUGGGGCAAGAGAGGCACCAGAUGGUGACAGAUGUGAGAGCCACCACCUCGGGGUGCUCCGCAGGUCCAGAGCAGACUUUGGAAGAAGCAUCUCGCAGCUGAGAGAUGCACAGAGGGCAGCGAGACCAGGGGGGAGAUUGCUCCAGAGAAAAGAGCACUGGGGGGAAUAAAGCAAACGUGUUCGAUGUACCAAAAUGUCCUGCCCCUGUCUGAAUACAAUAAACAGCUUUGUGCGUGGA